UACAGAGGUCCCAAGCGUUGUUCGGAUUCAUUGGGCGUAAAGGGCGCGUAGGCGGCGGGGUAAGUCUGGUGUGAAAUCUCGGAGCUCAACUCCGAAAUUGCACUGGAUACUGCUCUGCUAGAGGGCUGGAGAGGAGAUCGGAAUUCACGGUGUAGCAGUGAAAUGCGUAGAUAUCGUGAGGAAGACCAGUGGCGAAGGCGGAUCUCUGGACAGCUCCUGACGCUGAGGCGGCGAAGGCUAGGGGAGCAAACGGGG
rnacentral:rRNA from 1 species